rnacentral:rRNA from 1 species
GUCUUUUUGAAUAUAAUUUAAAGUCUAACCUGCCCACUGAAUUUUUUAAAUGGGCCGCGGUAUUUUGACUGUGCAAAGGUAGCAUAAUCAUUAGUCUUUUAAUUGAAGGCUUGUAUGAAUGGUUGGAUGAGGUAAUAACUGUCUCAAAUUAAUAAAUAAUAAAAUUUUAUUUUUAAGUUAAAAAGCUUAAAUAUAAUUAGAGGACGAGAAGACCCUAUAGAUCUUUAUAAAUUAAUAAUUUUAAAUUUUUUAGUUAAAAUAUGUUUUUAUUUAUUGAUUUAUUUUAUUGGGGUGAUAAAAAAAUUUAAUAAACUUUUUUUUUAGCUAAACAAUGAUUUUUGAUUAAUUGAUCCAUUAUUAAUGAUUAAAAGAUUAAGUUACCUUAGGGAUAACAGCGUAAUUUUUUUGAAGAGUCCAUAUCGAUAAAAAAGAUUGCGACCUCGAUGUUGAAUUAAAGGUUAAUUUUAGGUGCAGAAGUUUAAAAUUUUGGUCUGUUCGACCAUUAAAUC